AGAACGAACGCUGGCGGCAUGCCUAAUACAUGCAAGUCGAACGAACUCUUCGGAGUUAGUGGCGCACGGGUGCGUAACGCGUGGGAAUCUGCCCCUUGGUUCGGAAUAACAGUUGGAAACGACUGCUAAUACCGGAUGAUGACGAAAGUCCAAAGAUUUAUCGCCAAGGGAUGAGCCCGCGUAGGAUUAGCUAGUUGGUGAGGUAAAGGCUCACCAAGGCAACGAUCCUUAGCUGGUCUGAGAGGAUGAUCAGCCACACUGGGACUGAGACACGGCCCAGACUCCUACGGGAGGCAGCAGUAGGGAAUAUUGGACAAUGGGCGAAAAGCCUGAUCCAGCAAAUGCCGCGUGAGUGAUGAAGGCCUUAGGGUUGUAAAGCU
rnacentral:rRNA from 1 species